AUAACUGCUGCUGUGAAGAGAAGAAUUGUCAGACUCAGUGUUGAACAUCAGCUACUUUCUCCUGUUGCUUUAAACCUUCUUGUAGAGAUGGAACAUUGGCUGUGGAUGAUUCUUGCUGCUCUUUUCUUUGAGUGUAAAGGAGAAGACAAAGUGAUGCAGCCAACAGGAGAUGUCAUUGCUGCUGAAGGAGAGACAGUUAUACUCCCUUGUAAAUAUGAGACCAGUGGCACAAGUUAUUAUUUAUUCUGGUACAAACAAGAAGCAAAUGAUUUUCCCAAGCUUGUACUUCGACGUUUCUCUGGAACAAAAGAUCCUGAAGAUUCUCAGAAAGACAGAUUUCACGCUGAGCUCAAAGAGAAAUCAGUUCCUCUGAAGAUCCAGAAGCUUCAGCUGUCUGACUCUGCUGUGUACUACUGUGCUCUGAGGCCCACAGUGACAGGAAACAGCACAACUCUGUACAAAAACCUUUGGAGCAAAGACAACAGAAUACUCCACAACAUCCACUAGAGGGAGUUGUUACAUUGAAAGACUACAAUGUUUGUACCUUUAACACAGGGAUGUCAAAGUCAAAUACACAGAGGGCCAAAAAAACAAAUUUGCUACAAGCCAAGGGCCGGGCUGAUUCAGUGUUUAUUAAAACAUAUUGAAAUGAUUACACAUAGCCUAU